CCUCAAAUGCUCGGCCUUUACCUGCUGGCAGCACAAGCAACGGGAAACAAAGUCAGCAAUAUCUCUCCUCAUGCCACUCCACCAGUAAUGCUGCCUCAAAUCACGAUACAUCUUCGCUGUGCCCGGAUGGAUAGAGUAUCUAGACUCAUGGGCCUCAGAAAGUAUCAACUGUAUCAAAUCUCCAACUCUCGAAACACAGAUGCGGCCGGCAAAUUUCAACACUCCAUCAGGAUCUAAGGUAGCCUGACCACCAUCACCCGCUAACACUCGAUCUCUAAGGGCCACCAAGGUAUCAUCCUCAAACUGGCAACCACGGAUCCUAUCAAGCAAAGAAGACUGAACUCCCAUAAAGGCCAAGACGCGUCUAGAAUCUGAGAUAUCCAACCGAACCAUGCUAUUAGCUAAGGACUGAAUGUCCAAAGCUAAGGGUCGCUCCUCAACAGAUAAGAAGGCUAGACUACCCAUACUCACUGCCUUCCGGCUCAAGGCGUCCGCUACCACAUUCGCCUUGCCCGGAUGAUAGAGAAUAGAGAGGUCGUAGUCCUUCAGGAGCUCAAUCCAACGACGCUGCCUCAAAUUAAGGUCCCUCUGGCUCAUGAUGUACUGAAGACUCCUAUGAUCGGUAUAGAUCUCACAUCGAACUCCAUACAAGUAGUUCCCGGAUGGAUAGAGUAUCUAGACUCAUGGGCCUCAGAAAGUAUCAACUGUAUCAAAUCUCCAACUCUCGAAACACAGAUGCGGCCGGCAAAUUUCAACACUCCAUCAGGAUCUAAGGUAGCCUGACCACCAUCACCCGCUAACACUCGAUCUCUAAGGGCCACCAAGGUAUCAUCCUCAAACUGACGGCUGCGAAUCCGAUCCAACAGAGAUGAUUGAGCAUCCACAUAAGCUAGUACACACCGGGAAUCAGAGAUAUCAAGUCGUACCAUGCUAUUAGCUAAGGACUGAAUGUCCAAAGCUAAGGGUCGCUCCUCAACAGAUAAGAAGGCUAGACUACCCAUACUCACUGCCUUCCGGCUCAAGGCGUCCGCUACCACAUUCGCCUUGCCCGGAUGAUAGAGAAUAGAGAGGUCAUAGUCCUUCAGGAGCUCAAUCCAACGACGCUGCCU
rnacentral:lncRNA from 1 species